AAAAUGAAUGGGAAAGAUCAUUACUUGUUUCUGUUAAGGACAUUCAUGAUGAAGGAGAUUUUUGUACAUACAAUGUUAGAACUUAUGGAAGUGUUAAGGAGCAUGCAAUAAUUAUGAAACGGUCAGUAACUCAAGUUUAUUGUAGCUGCAAAAUGUUUGAGUUUAUGGGUAUACUAUGCAGACAUGCUUUAAAGAUCCUAGAUAUAUUGAAUGUGAAAGAUAUGAUACCUGCAUAUUAUAUACUAAAGAUGUGGACAAAAGAUGUUGCAAACAUGCAUGAGAUGGAUAUCAAUCUAGUAACAAAAGACUCUAAUCCAAAAGUUGAAGUUAUUGCGAGGUAUAAACAUUUAUGUUAAACUUUUAUCCAAAUUUCAAGUAAAGCUUCUGGAUGUAAAGAAGGGUAUGAAUUGGCUGCAAUAUUUGUGAACGAGCUAAUUACAAAGUUAAACGAUAUAAAGAAGAGAAAAGAAUCUGUUGAAGAGCCGAUUCAAGACAAUAAUAUCCAAAAUGAAGCGAAUGAGACAGUGUUUGUUGAUAACUCAAAUAUCUCAAAGGGUAUGGCAGAAGGAAGCUUUCCUCCAUGGUGCCUUUAACAAUUGUCUCAAGGAUCAUCCCAUCAUUCCCAUGGAAGUCUGAGUCAAUUCUUAAGAGAUGUUUUAUUUAAUUAUUUCAAUAAGUGAUCUCAACGUUGAUUAUAACAACUUCAAAAAGGCAGAGGUUUCAUGGUGAUGGCGAUUUCUGCAACCAUAGUGUUGAUCGCCAAAAUACAGAACAUUAUUUAGCAUCCUCUAUUAAUAGAGUUGCUUUUAAGCAUCAAUCUGCUUUAUUAUUAGCCUGAAAUGUAAGAAUUCAAUAAACAGAUUAUUUAGGGUAUUAUUUAGUUUAAAAAGAGAUGCAAUUGCGUCUACCUCGUUUUUCAAUUUUGUGUUACCUUAAUGAAGCUUGUGUCAAUACUUUGCUUAAGUUUGUUAAUCUUUUUAGCUUAGGAGCCA